AGUAAGACAGGCAAAGUCCAGACAGGCUCGCAGACAGUAGCCUGGAAAUAUCUUAGUCACACAUAUGCAUGUUAGUCACACACAUAUGGUAGCUACAAACACUCAUACAUACACAAGAGCUAAAUGACACACAUACGGUGUGUUUAUAUAAUGCAAUGCUUUUGUGCAGAAGGUAUGAAUAAUGCUUCUGAGGCUGAUUUGAAAUGAAAGACAAGAACAUUCACACUAGAUACACUUUUGUUCAAACACACUUCUGGGUUCUAUCCCACGUAUGCAGCUGAAGGAAUGGUAUACAAGUGGAAAACAUGAUGGCAUGUUUUUUUGGUGGUUCAUAGUUGUGGUUAGUCCCUCAGACAGAGGCGCUGAUGAUUUGACAUAAUUGCCUCUUUAGACUACUAGAUGACUACUGUGCCCAUGCAUUAUGUGCAGUAGAGCUAACUGUCCCUUCACGGCACUGAAAGACCUGUAUGUUUACACUGCCCACAGGCAAGAGCACUGAGAGACAGAGCAGGACUCCUUUCUCCUAAGUCAGUGAGAAAGAGGUGUGUCUGCUGGGUGUGUACAUAUGUGGGUAUUUACAUGUGUGUGUGUGUGUGUGUGUGUGUGUGUGUGUGUGUGUGUGUGUGUGUGUGUGUGUGUGUGUGUAAAAGAAAGAGAUGAGCUUUUAAAAACAUCAACAACAGUCAAUGACACCCUGUUACACUACACUGAAGCAACAGAGCCAAGGUGUCUGUAACAUUAGAACUCAAAGGAUGUAAUUACGCAUUUCACAACAGACACAAGUCCUCUUUGUUUUAGCCCUUUUUUCUGCAGCGGUUUCCUUUUUUUUCAUGUCAUCUCCGGAGGUCACUCCAGGCUAAAUCUUUCUCCCUUCCUCUUUUCACACACCUCCCACAAAGCCAUGCUUUGUCCCAGAAAGAAAUCUUUUUCAUAUUGAGGUAGGAAGCCAUUUCAUGGAUGGUAUAUCCAGAUCCGUGUGUGUGUAUGUGUGUGUGUGUUUGUGUGUGAAAGAGAGAGAGGGGGGAGAUAUGGACAAAGAGGGGCAGGAAGAAAAUGCACAACAAGCAGAUGGUGCCAUGAUAAAGGUGUAUUUUUAGAGCCUUAUGCUCCAGGGAAAAGCAAGGACUUUCCAGGAAUGCAGCAGGCAUUAAUGGGAAUCAGCCCUCUGUUUAUCCCCCUGGGCUUAUUCACCCACCAAUGAUAGAUGGUAGUGGAACAGACAAGACCUGAAAUGCACCUGAACCCUGAUUCACCCUUACCAAUUCCUUGUGGAGCUACCUGUGUGUUUAGCACGUUCGCCUCACACCUCCAGGGUCCAGGGUUCGAGUCCCGCUGGGGCCAUGUGUGUGCGGAGUUUGCAUGUUCUCCCCGUGCUGCGGGGGUUUCCUCCUGGUACUCCGGUUUCCUCCCCCAGUCCAAAGACAUGCAUGGUAGGCUGACUGGCAUGUCCAAAGUGUCUGUAGUGCAUGAAUGGGUGUGUGAGUAUGUAUGAUUGUGCCCUGCGAUGGAUUGGCACCCUGUCCAAGGUGUACCCCGCCUUGUGCCGAUGUUCCCUGGGAUAGACUCCACAGUUUCCCCGAGACCCUUAAAAGGAGUAAGCAGUAGAGGAUGGAUGGAUAUUUCCAAUGAGACUAUUCACAUCAAAUUUUCAUCAGACACCAGUAUUAACUCAAGAAAUCCAGAAAUAUAAAGAAUUCACAACACAAAGUCCAUAAAUAAAGUUAUGUGUAAUAAAGUGGAAUGACACGGGUCAAAAUUAUUGAAGACGCUAAGAAAAAGCAGUUGUCCAAGGCAAGGUAAAGCAAGGAACCAGCUGAAAUCCACAAGUAAUUAUACCUCCUAUCUGUGCAAAUUAAUAUCAGCUGGGUUAGUAAAUUGAUGGUCUAUAAAAAGGUUUUUCAUUACCAAGGUGUCACACAAGAAACAUCUCAUGAUGGGUAAAAACAAAGAGCUCUCCCAAGACCUUCACAACCUUAUUGUUGCGAAACAUAUUGAUGGAAUCGGAUACAGACGUAUUUCAAAAAUUCUGAAUCCUCAAGUAAGCACCAUUGGGGCCAUUAUCCACAAGUGGCAGCAACAUUACUCCGUCAUCACCCGGCCAUGCACAGGAGCUUCUGUGAUUUCUGACCAGGGAGUCAGAAGAAUAGUCAAAAGAGUAGCCCAAGAGCCAAGGACCACUCAGAAAGAGCUCCAGAAACACUUGAAGGCAGCAGGUGCCAUUGUCACAGAGAAAACAAUAGGCAGUGCUCUCUACUGCUCAUGUUUACCCCACAAGACUCCAUUACUAAAGAAAAGGCAUGUUGAAGCUCGUUUAAAGUUUACUACAAGUCGUUUGGACAAGGCUAUGAAAUACUGGGAGAGUGUAUACUACAUACUACACACCAUGUUUGGAGAAGAAAUGGCACUGCACAUCACCCUAAAAACACUAUACCAACAGUGAAGUUUGGAGGUGGAAGCAUCAUGGUGUGGGGCUGUUUUUCAUCACAUGGUACUGGCAGACUUCAUAUAAUUGAAGGAACAAUGAAUGGACCCUUUUACCGGGAGAUUCUUGAGAAGAAUCUGCUGCCAUCCACCAGCAUUAUGAAGAUGAGACGUGGAUGGACCUUCCAGCAGGACAACGAUCCAAAGCAUACAGCAAAGGAAACUUGUUAGAAUGGCCCAGUCAAUCACCUGACUUGAAUCCAAUUGAACAAGAUUUAAAGACAAUAUGUUUAGAAGAAUGGGACAAAAUCACACCUGAAUACUACAGCCGAUUAAUUUCUUUAUACAGGAAGCGUCUUGAAGCUGUCAUUACAAAUAAAGGCUUCUUCACUAAGUAUUAAAUACAUUUCAGUUAGCAUGUUCAAUACGUUACAGAAUGUCGUUUUACUCCAACAAAUACAUAGACUUUCAAAACCACACUCCAUAACUACAUUAUUUAUUUAUUUUAAGUGAUGUUAGGAAACUAACAGUGUUGAUGGAGGGAAAAAUAAUGGAAAGUAAAUAAUAUUUUUGAAAUUAAUCUCUUUUUGAUGUACUUUAAUGUAUUGAUUAGAAUUAACAUGAAAUGCUCAGCCUCUAGCAUGUUUAAAAGAAAUGUUAUUAGUAAAGAUUUUUUAGAUGAAAUUUGAAUUCUUUCUUUCUUCUUUUAGUAUGCUCUGCAUAUCGUGCUGGGUACACCCUUCGAUUCCACGUCUGU